AUGGCGCGCGAGCAGCUGGAGGUGCUCACGGCGCUGGACGCCGCCAAGACGCAGUGGUACCACUUCACGGCCAUCGUCAUCGCCGGCAUGGGCUUCUUCACCGACGCCUACGACCUCUUCUGCAUCUCCCUCGUCACCAAGCUGCUCGGCCGCAUCUACUACUACCGGGAAGGGGCGGACGCGCCCGGCUCGCUGCCGCCCAACGUCGCCGCCGCCGUCAACGGCGUCGCCUUCUGCGGCACGCUCUCCGGCCAGCUCUUCUUCGGCUGGCUCGGCGACCGCAUGGGCCGCAAGCGCGUCUACGGCAUGACGCUCAUGUGCAUGGUGCUCUGCUCCAUCGCCUCGGGCCUCUCCUUCGGGUCCACCCCCGGCUCCGUCAUGGCCACGCUGUGCUUCUUCCGCUUCUGGCUUGGGUUCGGCAUCGGCGGCGACUACCCGCUCUCCGCCACCAUCAUGUCCGAGUACGCCAACAAGAAGACGAGGGGCGCCUUCAUCGCCGCCGUGUUUGCUAUGCAGGGCUUCGGCAUCCUCACCGGCGGCGUCGUCACGCUCAUCGUCUCCGCCGCCUUCCGCGCCGCCUUCCCCACCCAGGCCUACCAGGACGCCCCCCUCGCCUCCACGCCGGCGCAGGCCGACUUCGUGUGGCGCUUCAUCCUCAUGUUCGGCGCCGUCCCGGCCCUCAUGACCUACUACUGGCGGAUGAAGAUGCCCGAGACGGCGCGCUACACGGCGCUCGUCGCCAAGAACGCCAAGCAGGCGGCCGCGGACAUGUCCAAGGUGCUCCAGGUGGACAUCGGCGCCGAGGAAGAGGACCCCAAGGCGAACGACGGCGUUGGAGCCGCCGACGACCGCAACUCGUUCGGGCUCUUCUCCGGCGAGUUCCUGCGCCGGCACGGGCUGCACCUCCUCGGCACGGCCACCUGCUGGUUCCUCCUCGACAUCGCCUUCUACUCGCAGAACCUGUUCCAGAAGGACAUCUUCACGGCGAUCAACUGGAUCCCCAAGGCCAAGACGAUGAGCGCCCUCGAGGAGGUGCACCGCAUCGCGCGCGCGCAGACGCUCAUCGCGCUCUGCGGCACGGUGCCGGGCUACUGGUUCACGGUGGCGCUGAUCGACCGGAUCGGGCGGUUCUGGAUCCAGCUCGGCGGCUUCUUCUUCAUGGCCGUGUUCAUGCUGGGGCUCGCCUUCCCGUACCACCACUGGACGACGCCGGGGAACCACAUCGGGUUCGUGGUGCUGUACGCGCUCACCUUCUUCUUCGCCAACUUCGGGCCCAACUCCACCACCUUCAUCGUGCCAGCGGAGAUCUUCCCGGCGAGGCUCCGGUCGACGUGCCACGGCAUCUCGGCGGCGGCGGGGAAGCUGGGGGCCAUCGUGGGGUCGUUCGGGUUCCUGUACCUGGCGCAGAACAAGGACCCGGCCAAGGUGGACCACGGGUACAAGGCCGGCAUCGGGGUGCGGAACUCGCUCUUCAUCCUCGCCGCCUGCAACUUCCUCGGCAUGGGCUUCACCUUCUGCGCGCCCGAGUCCAACGGCAUCUCGCUCGAGGAGCUCUCCGGCGAGAACGACGACGGCGAGGCGGCCGCGCCGGCGCACGCCAGGACGGUGCCCGUGUGA
rnacentral:rRNA from 1 species